GUCCAUUGCCACUUUGUCUAGAUACUUUCUUAGCACUAAUUUGAACCCAAUAACUUAGGAAAUAAAUCUCUAAUCAAAUGGUUACAUCUGUAACUCAUACCUUUACACUGCCUGAACAUAUGCUACUUUUCAGGAAAGACAGCUUUAAGUCUCACAGGUGAUGACACAUGAAAUAUACAAAUAUAAACAAGGUAAGAAAGAAACAAGAAACUAAAUUCUGGAUCUUGGGCACUCAACCUGUAAAAUUUCAAUUCAAAGCGACUGGCAGUAGAAGUUUCAGCCCAACAAAAUAAUUAACUAUUUAAGCCCCAAAAAGCAAAAAGAAUAAAGCAAUACUAAUGUAUCCGCUACCAUCAAAGUUUUCUCUCUAUCAAUCAUAUCUGAAGAAUUGAAGAGACACUGAUAGGAGAACUGAAUAAGACUUCUUCUGAAAAAACAGAAUAAUAAAAGAAAUUAUGCAGGAGUCGAGAGAAAACUUCUGUAUUCAUAGCAAACUAUUUAGGAGCCCUGCUGCAACCUUGACAGCACAUAGAAUAAAGAAAAAAUUGGCAGUUGCCUUUCACAAUCUUAUGGGUUAGUUUAGCCACCUGAAAAGAAAAAAAAAAAUCUUAUGGUCUAGUUUGGAUGAUUGAAUUAUUAGUAAUUGUAAUACUACCUUUUACUUCAUAUUCUUGGAAUAAGAAGUAUCUACCGGAGAUGAAUAUAAUGACUCCUUUAUUCCUAAGUUACAUAUAGCUUUACUAAAACCAUGUUAAGACAGCUCCGGUUAGGAUAUCCAAAGAUGUUUCAACAACUGUUUGAGAAACUAUUCACAACUCCGAAAACUACUAAUCCCCUAGCUCCUAAUUCCAAGAAGAAUGAUAUCACCUGAUCAGACUGUGAACCAAAUGAGCCCUAAAUAUUCAAGCUAAUAUCAAUGUUUUCCUCAAUAAGAUAUCCCCAGUGUUGGCAAGAUGACAGGAAGUUAGCCGUCAAGAAAAGGAGUUCAAAAGGUAUUGAAGUAUUUGACAUGAUAAAGAGUAUUGCUUUCAUCUAAUCAAGAAUCACUGGAAAAAGACUGCAAAGGGAAAAAGAAAAGACCACAUGAAGAAGACUAAAUAAUGAAGAAAAAGGACCUAUGUUGGACAGAACAAAUAUGCAACACAUACUAACGACCAAAUAACUCAACUAGAAAAAAUAACAAAAAGCUCAUCAAUGGAAGCAUUAUACUCUACCUUGAAUACUGAGAUGAAGGAAAAGCUCCCGAUCAAAGAUGGCUUCUUGACAGGUGGCCUU
rnacentral:lncRNA from 1 species